rnacentral:rRNA from 1 species
UACAGAGGGGGCAAGCGUUGUUCGGAAUUACUGGGCGUAAAGGGCGUGUAGGCGGCCCGCUAAGUCGAACGUGAAAUCCCCGAGCUCAACUCGGGAACUGCGUCCGAUACUGGCGGGCUUGAAUCCGGGAGAGGGAUGCGGAAUUCCAGGUGUAGCGGUGAAAUGCGUAGAUAUCUGGAGGAACACCGGUGGCGAAGGCGGCAUCCUGGACCGGCAUUGACGCUGAGGCGCGAAAGCCAGGGGAGCAAACGGG